CAGUCGCCGCGGGAAUACAGAGGGUGCGAGCGUUAAUCGGAUUUACUGGGCGUAAAGCGUGCGUAGGCGGCUUCUUAAGUCGGAUGUGAAAUCCCUGAGCUUAACUUAGGAAUUGCAUUCGAUACUGGGAAGCUAGAGUAUGGGAGAGGAUGGUAGAAUUCCAGGUGUAGCGGUGAAAUGCGUAGAGAUCUGGAGGAAUACCGAUGGCGAAGGCAGCCAUCUGGCCUAAUACUGACACUGAGGUACGAAAGCAUGGGGAGCAAACAGGAUUAGAUACCCCGGUAGUCCCUGUCUCUUAUAU
rnacentral:rRNA from 1 species